CUCUUCCAGGGCUGAGUCUGGGCCCCAGGACCCACGUGCAGGCAGGGCCCCUCCCCAAGCCCACCCUCUGGGCUGAGCCAGGCUCUGUGAUCACCCAGGGGAGUCCCGUGACCCUCAGGUGUCAGGGGGCCUGGAGACCAGGAGUACCGUCUAUAUAGAGAAAAGAAAACAGCACCCUGGAUUACACGGAUCCCACAGGAGCUUGUGAAGAAGGGCCAGUUCCCCAUCCCAUCCAUCACCUGGGAACACGCAGGGCGGUAUCGCUGUUACUAUGGUAGCCACACUGCAGGCCGCUCAGAGAGCAGUGACCCCCUGGAGCUGGUGGUGACAGGAUUCUACAACAAACCUACCCUCUCAGCCCAGCCCAGCCCUGUGGUGGCCUCAGGAGAGAACAUGACCGUCCAGUGUGACUCACAGGUGGCAUUUCACGGCUUCACUCUGUGUAAGGAAGG
rnacentral:sRNA from 1 species